ensembl:lncRNA
UCCUCCUCCUCUCUAAUGUAGCUAUACUCGACUGGUUCUCCCUCCUCCUCCUCUCUAAUGUAGCUGUACUAGACUGGUUCUCCCUACUCCUCCUUUCUAAUGUAGCUAUACUAGACUGGUUCUCCCUCCUCCUCCUCUCUAAUGUAGCUAUACUAUACUGGUUCUCCGUCCUCCUCCUCUCUAAUGUAGCUAUACUAGACUGGUUCUCCAUCCUCCUCCUCUCUAAUGUAGCUAUACUAGACUGCUUCUCUCUCCUCCUCUCUAAUAUAGCUGUACAUGACUGGUUCUCCAUCCUCCUCUCUAAUGUAUCUAUACUAUACUGGUUGUCCCUCCUCCUCCUCUCUAAUGUAUAUACACUAGACUGGUUGUCCCUCCUCCUCACUAAUUUAGCUAUGCUAGACUGGUUCUCCCUCCUCCUCCUCUCUAAUGUAGCUGUACUAGACUGUUUCUCCCUCCUCCUCCACUCUAAUACAGCUGUACUAGACUUGUUCUCCCUCCUCCUCUCUAAUGUAGCUCUACUAGACUGGUUGUCCCUCCUCUAUUAUGUUGCUGUACUAGACUGGUUCUCCGUCCUCCUCCUCUCUAAUGUAGCUCUACUAGACUGGUUCUCCCUCCUCCUCUUUAAUUUAGCUAUGGUAGACUGGUUCUCCCUCCUCCUCCUCCUCCUCUCUAAUGUAGCUGUACUAGACUGGUUAUCUCUCCUCCUCCUCUCUAAUGUAGCUGUACUGGAUCGGUUCUCGCUCCUCCUCUCUAAUGUGUCUAUAAUAGACUGGUUCUCGCUCGUCCUCCUCUUUAAUGUAGCUGUACUAUACAGGUUCUCCCUCCUCCUCUCUAAUGUAUCUAUACUAGACUAGUUUUCCCUCCUCCUCCUCUCUAAUGUAGCUAUAGUAGACUGGUUCUCCCUCCUCCUCCUCUCUAAUGUGUCUAUACUAGACUGGUUAUCCCUCCUCCUCUCUAAUGUAUCUAUACUAGACUGGUUCUCCCUCCUCCUCUUUAAUGUAGCUAUAGUAGACUGGUUCUCCCUCCUCCUCCUCCUCUCUAAUGUAGCUGUACUAGACUGGUUAUCCCUCCUCCUCUCUAAUGUAGCUAUACUAGACUGGUUCUCCCUCCUCCUCCUCUCUAAUGUAGCUAUACUAGACUGGUUCUCCCUUCUCCUCCUUUCUAAUGUUGCUUUACUAGACUGGCUGUCCCUCCUCCUCCUCUCUGAUGUAGCUGUACUAGACUGGUUCUCACUCCUUCUCCUCUCUAAUGUAGCU